rnacentral:lncRNA from 1 species
GUGUAAAUGUCAAUUGACUAUUUUAAAACAUGGACAUGAACAAAAUCUAGGUAUAGAGAGAAGUAUCCUAGGAAACAGAAGAAAAGCAGGGAUAUCUCACUGCUUUGAUCCUGCAGUCUGUCUUUAUUUGGCUAAUUUUAUAAUGUGCUGUGGGGCAGUGCUGCUUUACUGGAGUUUGCUCCUGCAGAGAUACAGACUGGGUGUUGAAAUCACCGCGUGGUUUUCUAAAUUGGUCUUCGGAUUGUUUCAUGUGAACUUUAUCGCCUGGAAUAUGAGGUAUCCUGCAAAAGGAACCUGCUCUGAAGAGUUCCUUCACUGUGCAGUCUUUCAGGACCAAGUAAGUCAUUUGAGUCAUUUUAUUAAAAUGAAAUGUAGAAUGUAAAUAUGUUUAAUGAUCUAUGUUGAGGACUUUUUUAUGUUUGAUGCUUGCUG